UACGUAGGGACCGAGCGUUGUCCGGAAUCAUUGGGCGUAAAGAGCGUGUAGGCGGCUAUUUAAGUCCUGCGUGAAAUCCUGCGGCUCAACCGCAGACGGUCGUGGGAAACUGGAUGGCUAGAGUGCGGGUGAGGAGAGUGGAAUUCCCGGUGUAGCGGUGAAAUGCGCAGAUAUCGGGAAGAACACCCGUGGCGAAGGCGGCUCUCUGGAACGCAACUGACGCUGAGACGCGAAAGCGUGGGGAGCAAACAGG
rnacentral:rRNA from 1 species